rnacentral:lncRNA from 1 species
GAAUACUUUUAGUUUUCGCACUCUAACUUAAGUAAAAGUGAAUAGAAAUCUAUGAAAUUUUAACACAAGGUUUAUGACCACAAAAGGAAGGUUGGGAUUGAUUUUGGGAGUUUUAGUCCCAACAUUUUAGGAAUUAGGGGCCAAAAAGGGCCCAAAUAAGCAUUUUCUUGGUUUUCGCACUAUAACUUUAGUUUAAGUAAAUAGAAAUCUAUGAAAUUUUGACAUAAGGUUUAUGACCACAAAAGAAAGGUUGGGAUUGAUUUUGGGAGUUUUGGUUCCAACAGUUUAGGAAUUAGGGGCCAAAAAAGGGCCCAAAUAAGCAUUAUUCUUGGUUUUCGCACAAUAACUUAGUUUAAGUAAAUAGAAAUCAAUGAAAUUUAAACACAAUGUUUAUGACCACAAAAGAAAGGUUGGUAUUGAUUUUGGGAGUUUAGGUCCCAACAGUUUAGGAAUUAGGGGCCAAAAAGGGACCCAAAUAAGCAUUUUUUUU